rnacentral:lncRNA from 1 species
GCAAGUUAAUAUGUCACAACUUGUGUAAAGAAACUGCCGUAGAAGUUCUGUGUAUACAUACAGAUACAAGUUCGUGCCCAUUUAGCCUGAAAUGAUAUUAUCUGCUCAGUCCAACUAUCUUCUGUCCUAGAAUGAAUGGGGCACUUGGUAAAAGGUGAUGUGUAACAAAUGCUCCGAACAUAUGACACGCGAUGUGUAACAAAUGCUCCGAACAUAUGACACGCAACUAAACAUUCUCUUGCAUUGCUACCCCUUCUAAUUGACUUUUGAUGAACUUCUUGUGAGUGAACGUUACAAAAGACCAUGUGGACAUAACAAACCUACUAAGUUUUUGGGGAAAUUGGACAGGAUUCUAAUGCACC